UUUUUAUUCACUGGCUUGAACUACGAGUUUAAUUUUUUUUUAUUGUGAAGCUUCACAACAGAAGCAUUGAAUUCCAGAGUUCUUCUAUUGCUAACGAAGUAUGAUGUGUUACAAGUGGAUAGGAUAUGUCUCAUCAUGGUAAUGAGUACUAUAUUUUAGUGGGUUUCUGUGUAAAUAAGGCUCAUGCGAUAAUUUUCAUUUUGUUUGCUUGUUUACCUCUCCCCAUUCACAUGGUAAUUUUAAAUUUAUUGGCUCCUGACAGACAGGAAGAAAUCCCAAGGAUAUCCCAGCCACAUAAUUUUCAAGAAAUUUUACACUUAGGGAAACAAGGUAGUUGAGGAUUUUCUCCCUAGAGCUGCACUUAGUAAAGGACUGUAGUUAAGCUCAUACCAAUUAAAUACCAGAUAAUCCACAAAGAUGGGAAAGAUUUCUGCCCUCUUUGGUUUAGUUACUCUCUUGAGCAAAUUGCCAAAGCUGUUUAUAUCACAGAGAUUUAUCUGAACACACUUUGCAUCAAUCCUUCACCCCCAUGUUCUAUGUUUCAAUGACAGUGUACAAAGCGAGCUGACCUUUCUCUUUUCCUUUUAAUUGAUUAGAAUUAAACCAAAAAGAAUUUCUAAUUGUUUAUCAGAAGCUUCUACUUAUUGAUGCCAUGUGUAAAACUUUGUUUACUGAAGUCUCUCGAAUUGACUUUGUACAAGGGACUUCUGCAAUGCCUGAUUAUUAAAAUCCCUGCUUUGUUUUCAGUAGUGUGGCCAGGUACAUCAGGUUUUCUUCCUGAAGCAAACUCAGCCAGACACUAAACACCCUCUCCUGAAAAGAAACUCAAGCUUCCGCUGGCCUCAGUAGCAGCAACAAGCAGUUCAAAACACCUCAAGUGUGAACUGAAGCCGGAAAAUUAAUUGACACAGAGGAGUAAUGGGAAACUCAAUCUGAAAAUGAAGUGUUCUUAAUUAAGAGACACUCUCCAGAAUUAUACAGAAAGACACUCUUUCCCAUUUAAAAUUUAGCUCUUCCUUCCUCACCAAGUACAAAUCACCGGUCUAUAAUUAGCACUGUUGGUGGAAGGAAUGGCUGAGUGUCUGGCUGGAGUUUGGCCUGUGACUGUGACAGGGAGGGCAGCCGGUGUGCUGGAACAGAUUCUAGCUCGUUUGCCACUUACCAUCCAGUUUCUUACAAAUGUUUCUGUUAUAAUCUCUUAAUGUUAUCAUAUUAGUUAAAAAUGAAAAAAACAGUCAGGAAGAAGGGCUCGAUUCCCAGUAGCUGAGAACAGUAGCAUGACUCCCUUGCACGGUGAUUUCAGUUUACCUGUGAAUGAGUCCAGCUCCAAUCCCAUGCCAAGACCUAAUCCAACAUUUUAUGUAAUGAUUGUUUAAUGAAAAUUGCAUAAAUGCUCACUGGUGGGGAAGCCAGUACCCAGAUGUUGUCUCUCUACCCUUACUCUGUUUUUAAAAGAAGGUAUGUCUUUCACUCUGUAAGAGAGUGACAGAGAGUGUCUGUAUGAGAGUAACAUUUCACUCUGCAGCAGUGAGCCCAAAAGCAGAUUAUAAAUGCGAUGGAGGGCAGUAAACUGACACUGGUCAGCAAAUGCAGAGUUUGAAUUAACAAAAAGAAUGUGCAUUAGGAGCCAGUGGGGAGGUAAGGGUUGGAAUGCACAGUGGUACAGGUCCAGCAGCAUGUCAUAGGCCUGGAUGCUCAGGUAUCUGCUUGAGGAAUUUGGGUGUCUCAAGAGCACCUGCUAAAUAUGGGUACAUUUAAUCCAGAAAGGAGUGCACCUCAGGUAUCAAAAGCUAUGGAAAUACUUUCUGCUGUCUCAUUGCCUUUCAAAGAGCUUUCCAAUGCCCUGUCUGCCAUACCUGGAUGUGGGGAUGUACUUUCUCACCAAGGAAUCAGAUUCAGCAGCCUACAGGCUGGGUCACUGAGGGGCCAAGAAAGUAGAGGUAUGGGAAAAAGAACAGUUAACACCACAUAGCCAUGAGUACUCAGUGGCAGUGGUGCCAGCCCCUUGAUGAAAGUGAAAUGUUAGAUCAGCUCAGAAUCGCUGGGGAAGCUGUCUUUUACAUGAAUGUCUGGAUGGUUUUGAAUGGUGAAGCCCAACCUGAUGUAAUCACUUUCUUUGAGGGAACAGGAGGAUGUAUAAGUCCAACACAGUAGGCAGGAAUGAGGAUGCUCUUUCCUGCUUGCCAGCUCUUAUUAGCUCUCUUAUGCUAAUCUAAUGACAUGCAAAUUUCGUUUUAAGUGCCUAACUCUGUAAUUUGAUGUUCCUCUUGGUCUUGGAUCCUUGCUCCAGCUCAAAAUAUGUUCUUUGAUCCUGUUUUGGUUUGGCUUUUGUGCUCCCACAGCUGUGAUGUAAUCCAACCAAAAACUUCUUUCACGGGAUAUUUUCAGUCAAAUUGGUUUCCUAACCUGACUAACAGUACAGUUGCAUAACCACUGAUCUUUAACUCAGAGGAGGUGGUGCAACUGUUUCUUUUGGUGAAUGUGUAAGGUCUUUGAUCACCUUAGGUAGACCAUGAAAUCACAAACUAUCACUCUCCGAGUUAUGCAGGAAGCUUUAAACCCCUUUUCAGCACUGUGAAUUCAAUUUCAAGCUCUGUUCAUUCACUCUCUGAGGCUGACUGCAGAAAACAAGUUGCUAAUACACACUAAACAGCAGGAUCUCAGACCUGGGGUCCUCUGAGUUGUUUGCUUCUAAAAUUAUGCCCAUGGGCUUGGGGAUAAGCACUUGGAGGUACAGUGGGGAGAUACAACCCUUCCAUUUGUAUCCUUCUAUAAUAGCAAUUCAGGGCUCCUUCAAGUGUCACUUUUCAAGAUAUUUGGAACAUAAAAUUAGACUGCAUUUGCCAACAGAAACUGAAUUUAACAGGAACAGUUAGAAAACAGUAAGAAUAGGGACAGAAUGAAAAACUACAUUCCCCAGAAGUUGUUAGCAAAGUAUUUUCUGUCUGGCAACAAGCAGAUACUUGUGCAAAGGACUUUUGAACUGCAGCACAUUUCAGGAAAUUGCUGCUUGAGUUGAAGUUCUUUAUAGUGUUUUUUUACAUUCCUUUGCACUUUAAUCAAAGUAUUUUCAAAACUGUAUGAUAUUGCUGUCUAUUUGUUACAGUUUGUUACUACACUCUCCAAUGCUUUUAGAAAAACCUGUCCAUAUAUUUACUGGUAAUGAGGAAAGUGGGUUUUUUCCUUUCCUCCUCCUUUGUCUGUAGAGAGUAAGAGUGACGACUUUUGCUCAUUAGCAAAAAAAGCCUUUCCGGAUCUUUGCAAGAACGAAUGACUGUCAGCGUCACUGUAAACGGUGAGUAAUUAGACCUAGGAAAUGAAGAAUUAGACGUGGGCUCCAGCUGUAAAGUAUUGAUUUUUUUUUUUUUUUUUUUUUAAUAAUAUACAGUUACAUCAAUGCUGUGGAGUAUCUUGGAACAGGCAACUUCUACAAGUGGAUAGUGAAGCACAGUUAUUCAAAAAGAGGAACUUUAUUUCCUCAGCAAAUCCAAGCCAUGUACCACAGUGGAGACAGAGGAAGUUCCAAAUGUGGAUAAAGAAACACUGAUUUCUCAUCGCCGUGUUGCUCUGCUUAGCCUUGGAAGAUGUGGAGACUGGAGCAGAGGUGCCUAGCAAUGGGUUAUUGGGUUAUCUCACUGCACUGCAGCAACGCAGAGCUCGGGCUCUCUCACCAGCGUGGGAGGGAUGGUGCAGGGACUGAGCAAAAACCUGUGUGACCAAGGUACAAGAGUUUAUUGAAUUCUUUGUUACUCUACGAUGGAAAACGCCAAUGGUCUCUAAAUGUUUUGCUUCAACAAAAGGCAGAAAUAUUCUUUUAAUAAAUAUGAAAAUCUUCUCUAAA